rnacentral:rRNA from 1 species
GUAAGGAAUAUUGGUCAAUGGGCGCAAGCCUGAACCAGCCAUGCCGCGUGCAGGAUGACGGCCCUAUGGGUUGUAAACUGCUUUUGUACGGGAAAAAACCCCUUUACGUGUAAAGGGCUGAUGGUACCGUAAGAAUAAGGAUCGGCUAACUCCGUGCCAGCAGCCGCGGUAAUACGGAGGAUCCAAGCGUUAUCCGGAUUUAUUGGGUUUAAAGGGUGCGCAGGCGGAAUAAUAAGUCAGUGGUGAAAUCCUACAGCUUAACUGUAGAACUGCCAUUGAUACUGUUAUUCUUGAGUAUAGUUGAAGUGGGCGGAAUGUGUCAUGUAGCGGUGAAAUGCUUAGAUAUGACACAGAACACCAAUUGCGAAGGCAGCUCACUAAGCUAUAACUGACGCUCAUGCACGAAAGCGUGGGGAUCAAACAGGAUUAGAAACCCGAGUAGUCC